CUGUCGGAUAUGCACAUAUAGUAGCGUCUCUCCAUUGAAUUACAGGCGGUUGACGUAACCAAACGAAUUUUCAAAAACAGAUUACAAUAACGAGAUCUAUCCAACAAUCUAAAGAAAGAAUGGGCGGGAGCUAGUGCGGUGCAACAACUCCAAGUGUUAGGGCGGAGAGACAUGUAAUCUUGUUAGUGUAUCCAUGAUCUUUGAUUCAAUCCAAAUUCAUUGCCUUUUAAAAGUUUAACCUGUAUUUAACUAGGAAAGUCAGUUAAGAACAAAUUAUUAUUUACAAUGACGGCUUACCCCGGCCAAAACCGGAAAACACUGGGCCGAUUGUGCGCCGCCGUAUGGGACUCCCAAUCACGGCCGGAUGUGAUACAUCCUGGAUUCGAACCAGAGACUGUCGUGACGCGAACUGAGAUGCAGUGCCUUCGACGGCUGUGCCACUUGGGAACCCGAUUAAGACAGACAACUGUUUAUUUCAGCAGAGAAGACGCAGCAAAGAUGCCCUAGUAGGGAGGAAACAAGGCAUUUCCAAGUAGGCUGCAUUUUUAAGGAGAGGAUCUUAUUUUCACCGCAGAUCUCCAUUUCACCAAGGACUGCACAACGACCUCAUGCUGGUGGCAGACUAGCAGAAUUCAGCCAUCGGCAGGAACGAGACAUUUGCAACAUGGUCAUAGCCAACAAUUCCAUCAGGCUAAGAGGGAUCCGAAAGUGUAAAUCACAAAUGACAACGAUAUCUUCGCAAAUAUCAAUUCUGUCAGCCUUUCACCUAUAGACAGAGUUUUGGGGGACAAAUGACUAUGAAACAGCUCUACAUGGUUUCAUUUGAGAGGAAUAGUAACAGAGUGAAGGAGCUGUGGUACCAGUAUGUCCAGGUAAACCAUUGGUGUGCACAUGGUAUAUUGUCCAGGGAGUUUUACUGUACUUCAAUGAUGUCUGUAUAUACUUUUUGUAGUUGUAGAUACCUAUAAGAACAGAAAACAUUUCUACUUUGCUAAACUAUCUGAUUCUAGAAUAGGCUAUGUAAAACAAACUUUAUAUUUUGUUUCUGUGUUACUAUUUAGAAAAUAAUAGAGCUGGAAGGACAUAAAAUUAUCCACAUUCUUGUUUUUGUGGACGAGGCUGGGUUCAGCCUGGCCAAAGGCAGGAGACGUGGCCGCAAUCUCAUUGACCGCGCGAGCCACAAUUGGCACACCAGGCCAACGUGGGGAGCAAUAUUACAAUGUGUGCUGCCAUUUCUGAGAAUGGUGUGAGCACACAUAUUCCACACAUUGGGCCCUAUAACACACAUCUUCCCCUGGCCUUCCUAAAUACACUUUACAGAGACCUAAUAACAGAACACGAAAGCGGUUUUGUUAGAGCAGAUUUGCCAAAUGAUGUAAUUGUGUGGGAUAAUGUCAGCUUCCACCGAAACAACAUUGUUAGUGAAUGGUUUGCUGCGCAUGAAAGGAUAAUAGUGGAGUUCCAUCCUCCCCAUUCCUGAAACCGAUAGAAGAGUUUUGUUCAGCAUGGAGGUGGAAAGUAUAUGACUAUCGGGCACAAGAUCAGAUGUCUCUGUUAGAUGCCAUGAAUGCUGCUUGUGGGGAGAUCACAGGCGAUCAUUGCAGUGAUCAUUGCAGGAUGUCCACCAAGAAGAUGAGAACUUCUUGUGUCACGUACUGUGAGGAGGUACAAUUUAUUGUUGUUUUAACAGAACUACCACAGGUUUUUUCUUUUUUGUAUUUCUUUAUUCUUUUUUGCAUGGAUGUCAUUUUGUGGCAAAUUUUCUGUUCACUAUAUAUGAUUUUACAUGUAAGAGAUAUGUAAAUAUGGACAUGCAAUUGUGAAUUUUCUGUAACACAUUGCUACAAAUGUGCUUAUCCUUUUUCUGUGUACUACAGUAUUGACUUUUUCCAGUAAACUUUUACCUACUGUUGAGAUCGGUAUCUAAAAAGCUCAGUGUGAUACACAAUAGCAUUCAGCUAGACAAAACUGGCAUUCUGGUAUAGUACAGUAAGCAGUCAGUGUCAACAAAAAAGUAGAACAAAACUUAAAUGUGUAUAUAACAAACAUUUCUCAAGUUGAUUUUCAAAAAGCAUCUAAACAUUUUGACCAGUACGGCUCACACGAUGACAAAAAAAAAAACGUUUCAUUUUGGUGGCUUUGGCCAAUUUACUGACUCAAUAACUAGGUUUUGAAGCAUGAAUUAAAUGUUUUAGGUGAGUUACUUGCAAUAGAGUUGGGACAAUGUAAUAGAGUUGGGACAAUGGCACCAACAGUUUAGAGAAACGUUAACUGUUUAAAAAAAACGAGUCAAAGCGAUUGAGAAACUGUAAAGUAGUCAAAAGUUAAGAAUUUUGUCCCACAUUCCAUGCACGCAAUGUCUAACUCUGCGCCGUUAUUUGCCUGUUUGUGGCCCACCUAUUAGCUUGCACGAUUCUUACCAUUCUCCUUCUACCUCCCAUCAAGAAGCUGUUUUUGCCCACAGGACUGCUGCUGUCUUGACGUUUUAUGUUUAUCGCACCAUUCUCUGUAAACCCUAGACACUGCCAUACGUGGAAAACCCAGGAGGGUGGCCGUUUCUGAGAUACGGGAACCGGCGCACCUGGCACCGAUGAUCAUACCACGCUCAAAGUCACUUAGGUCACUCGUUUCGCCACUUCUAACGUUCAAUCGAACAGUAACUGAAUGCCUCGUUGCCUGUCUGCCUGCUUUAUAUAGCAAGCCAUGGCCACGCAAGGUAAUGGGCUAGUGUACCUAAUAAACUUGCCACUGUGUGUAUAUAUUGCAUAUAAUAGCCACUGCUAGUAGCCAUGUAUUCAUCCAACAGUAAAUUAAAUGUCCUUUUCAUUUGAGGGCUACUAUCCAUGAGACCUAUAGGCCUAUACCCUCGUAAUGGCCUGCUCCAUAUCUAAAAGCCACAUCAAAUAUCUUGGUUGUAAAACAGUUGACAUUGAGCUGAAUAUUUAGAGGAGAAAAAAAUAUAUACCUACAGAAAGCUGAUACCCUCUUCUCCUCGGCAGUGACAAGAGGAGGAAGCUUCCAAAGCUUUGUUUUUCCCGCAAUUGCAUUUUAAAAGGAUAUACUAUCAGAACGCAAUGUAGAAUGUGCUCUUUCUACGUUCAUAGGCACCGUGAUACAUGAUCCCGCUGUCUAACUGAUUACAUAGUCAGAGCAGGUCUCUUUACGGAUGCCGCGUUAGACUUUGAAUGUGAGUGUGCGUGACCUCAGGCCAUGUCACCUAUUUCAGGCUUCAAACAUAAAGAUAUAAAACUGUAUUGUUUUGUGAAGAAUCAACAACAAGUGGGACACAAUCAUGAAGUGGAACGACAUUUAUUGGAUAUUUCAAACUUUUUUAACAAAUCAAAAACUGAAAAAUUGGGCGUGCAAAAUUAUUCAGCCCCCUUAAGUUAAUACUUUGUAGCGCCACCUUUUGCUGCGAUUACAGCUGUAAGUCGCUUGGGGUAUGUCUCUAUCAGUUUUGCACAUCGAGAGACUGAAACAACAACAGAGGCCAAACAACAGUCUAAACGGUCAAACAGAUUUGGAUGAAAAAAGGUGACAUUCUGUACGUAUGGAACGCUUGAUCUCAAAUCCAAAAUGCUGGAGUAUGCUUCACUGUCCAAUUGCGUGUAUGUAAUCAUACGGUGAAAGAAUUCUUUGGCCUCGCUCAUGGAGGCCGUACCAACCUCAGCGCAGCUAAUACUGGAACAAAGAUGUGUAAAGCAAAGGCAUAGGGUAAUACUUAGUUAUAAGUAUCUUUGACUUGAUGUCGUCUGAAGGUGAUUCCUCCUCCUCAGGACAAAUGUGCAAUCUGUUCUAUAGCCCGGAAUGUGAACUGUAUUUACACAAAAUGUGAUCAAAUAGUUUGCUAAAUGUGACAGGCUGAUCCUCGGCUGUGGUGAUCAGGCAUUGUGAGGAUUAAGAAUGUAAUAGCUAUGGAUGUAUCCCAAAUGGCACCCUAUUCCAGAUACUGUAGUUAGUGCACUACUUUUGACCAGUGCCCAUAUUGAGAACAGAGUGCCAUUUGGGAUGUACCCUAUCAGAGUUAAGAUGAAGGAUUGAGGGGGCAUCCCUCAGCUUAAUGAACAGUUGAAUCACUUGCAUUCUCCUGUUUCUUUAACUCGCAUUGUAGUUGUUGUUGUUUUUAUUUAUAUUUUUAAAAUUAUAUUUUCUAUUAUUAUCUAUACACUAUUUUUAUUGUUAUCACUGCAUUGUUGGAAAAGAGCUCUCAAGGUCAUUUCACUGUACUGUUUUGCACCUGUUCUAUCCUGUGGAUGUGGCGAAUAAACUUUGAAACUACUUGAAACUUAACUGACCCCCGCUGUGCAUCUUCUAAGUCUAACUUCUUAUGCCAUAGAAACUUCACAGCGCUACUAAUACUUCCUGAAGACCCCUGGAAUACACAGCAGCCUCUGAAGGAGGGGACCCGAGAACUCUUAACUAAGUGGCAAUAUUUGCUCACCUGACAUACACACAUCUGGCUGGCUGGUUAAAUGGCCUGCCUAGCCAGGAAGGCAGCUGGUUGCUACUGCUGAGGGCAGACAGACCGGUCAGUCGGGAAGGCCAAGGAGGUUUUGAGGAGGAGUGGUGUCUCCCCAGCCAGGCGGCUGUUUCUCACUCCAUGUUUGUCCGGAGCUGUUGGAGGCUGACGAGGUGCUAAUUUAAGACUCCGUCCCAAAUGGCACCCUUUCCCUAUGGCCCUGGUCCAAAGUAGUACACUAUAUAGGGAAUAGCGUGCCAUUUGGAACGCAAGGUGAGGAGUGUCCAUGCCAUUAGCCUACACUGUGGUUAGCCUGUCAGAGCCUGUAAAGAAACUGAUUUAUUAGGAUCUGGUAGGGCGUUCUCGGGUAGACAAACACAGAUUGGACACAUGUUGUUUGCCGGCAGGGAGCUUUGUCAUGGAGCCGAGAGUAACAUCUCCCUGAUUUUACUAAAGAAGACCCCACCCUGUUUCUCGGUAAACAGUACAAAUUGCAUCUUGCAAGUCAGAGGACCAAGGGAGGUAGCUAGAUAUCACUGGGGUAGAUGGAAGUGCCUUUGUGCUGUUCCCUUGUUUUUUUUUAAAUGAUCAAAGAAGAGCCAUCAGGCUGAUGGAAAAAACACAAAGCCAUCAGCAAAAAUACAUUUCUGAACAAAGGUUAACUGUAUGAAAAAUAAUCAACUAGUAUUAUUAUAGUAUUAGAAUGCAUAAACAGGCAUAUCUCAACGGUUGAAAUAAAACCAUGUACAUUUGAUUCAUAUACAGUACACCAAAAUACGAGAAAAAUGAUUAUCCUGCUGUAGACUAACAAUGUAUUUUGUAUCUAGCCUUAUAACAGGUGUAUUACAUUGCCUUCAGAAGGUAUUCACACCCAUUGACCUUUUCCACAUGUUGUUGUGUUACAGCCUGCAUUUUAAAUUGAAUAAAGUUGUCACGCCUUGGUCUUAGUAUUUUGUGUUUUAGUUAAUUAGUUGGUCAGGCCAGGGUGUGACAUGGGUUUAUUGUUUGUUGUAUUUAGUGGGGUUUUUUAGUUAUUGGGAUUGUAGCUGAUUAGGGGUGUGUGUUUCAUAGGUUUGGCUGCCUGAGGCGGUUCUCAAUCAGAGUCAGGUGAUUCUCGUUGUCUCUGAUUGGGAACCGUAUUUAGGUAGCCUGGGUUUCGCUUUGUAUUUCGUGGGUGAUUGUUCCUGUCUCUGUGUUAGUGUUCACCAGUCAGGCUGUAAUAGGUUUCACGUUCCGUUUUGUUGUUUUGUAUUUAUUCGUUAUUUCAUGUAUAGUUUCGUUAUUUGUUUUCACUAAUAAACAUGAGUAACAAA